rnacentral:rRNA from 1 species
UUCGCAAUGCCCGAAAGGGUGACGAAGCGACGCCGCGUGUGGGAAGAAGGCCUUCGGGUUGUAAACCACUGUCGGGAGUUAGGAAAUGUAAGGGUGUUAAUAGUAUCCUUACUUGACUAAGGCUCCGGAGGAAGCCACGGCUAACUCUGUGCCAGCAGCCGCGGUAAUACAGAGGCGGCAAGCGUUGUUCGGAAUUAUUGGGCGUAAAGAGCACGUAGGCGGCCUUGCAAGUCAGUUGUGAAAGCCUUCUGCUUAACGGAAGAACAGCGACCGAUACUGCAUAGCUAGAGUGCGGGAGGGGAGAGUGGAACUUCUGGUGGAGCGGUGAAAUGCGUAGAUAUCAGAAGGAACGCCGGCGGCGAAAGCGGCUCUCUGGACCGUAACUGACGCUGAGUGUGCGAAAGCUAGGGGAGCAAACGGGAUUAGAUACCCCGGUAGUCCUAGCCGUAAACGAUGGGCACUAAGUAGAGGGGUUUU